rnacentral:rRNA from 1 species
GGUUAAGCGACUAAGCGUACACGGUGGAUGCCCUGGCAGUCAGAGGCGAUGAAGGACGUGCUAAUCUGCGAAAAGCGUCGGUAAGGUGAUAUGAACCGUUAUAACCGGCGAUGUCCGAAUGGGGAAACCCAGUGCAAUUCGUUGCACUAUCGUUAACUGAAUACAUAGGUUAACGAGGCGAACCGGGGGAACUGAAACAUCUAAGUACCCCGAGGAAAAGAAAUCAACCGAGAUUCCCCCAGUAGCGGCGAGCGAACGGGGAGCAGCCCAGAGUCUGAAUCAGCUUGUGUGUUAGUGGAACGGUCUGGAAAGUCCGACGGUACAGGGUGAUAGUCCCGUACACCAAAAUGCACAGGUUGUGAACUCGAAGAGUAGGGCGGGACACGUGGUAUCCUGUCUGAAUAUGGGGGGACCAUCCUCCAAGGCUAAAUACUCCUGACUGACCGAUAGUGAACCAGUACCGUGAGGGAAAGGCGAAAAGAACCCCGGCGAGGGGAGUGAAAAAGAACCUGAAACCGUGUACGUACAAGCAGUGGGAGCACCUUCGGGUGUGACUGCGUACCUUUUGUAUAAUGGGUCAGCGACUUAUAUUCUGUAGCAAGGUUAACCGUAUAGGGGAGCCGCAGGGAAACCGAGUCUUAACUGGGCGUUAAGUUGCAGGGUAUAGACCCGAAACCCGGUGAUCUAGCCAUGGGCAGGUUGAAGGUUGGGUAACACUAACUGGAGGACCGAACCGACUAAUGUUGAAAAAUUAGCGGAUGACUUGUGGCUGGGGGUGAAAGGCCAAUCAAACCGGGAGAUAGCUGGUUCUCCCCGAAAGCUAUUUAGGUAGCGCCUCGUGAAUUCAUCUUCGGGGGUAGAGCACUGUUUCGGCUAGGGGGUCAUCCCGACUUACCAACCCGAUGCAAACUACGAAUACCGAAGAAUGUUAUCACGGGAGACACACGGCGGGUGCUAACGUCCGUCGUGAAGAGGGAAACAACCCAGACCGCCAGCUAAGGUCCCAAAGUCAUGGUUAAGUGGGAAACGAUGUGGGAAGGCACAGACAGCCAGGAUGUUGGCUUAGAAGCAGCCAUCAUUUAAAGAAAGCGUAAUAGCUCACUGGUCGAGUCGGCCUGCGCGGAAGAUGUAACGGGGCUAAACCAUGCACCGAAGCUGCGGCAGCGACACUAUGUGUUGUUGGGUAGGGGAGCGUUCUGUAAGCCUGCGAAGGUGACCUGUGAGGGUUGCUGGAGGUAUCAGAAGUGCGAAUGCUGACAUAAGUAACGAUAAAGCGGGUGAAAAGCCCGCUCGCCGGAAGACCAAGGGUUCCUGUCCAACGUUAAUCGGGGCAGGGUGAGUCGACCCCUAAGGCGAGGCCGAAAGGCGUAGUCGAUGGGAAACAGGUUAAUAUUCCUGUACUUGGUGUUACUGCGAAGGGGGGACGGAGAAGGCUAUGUUAGCCGGGCGACGGUUGUCCCGGUUUAAGCAUGUAGGCUGGUUAUCCAGGCAAAUCCGGAUAAUCAAGGCUGAGGUGUGAUGACGAAGCACUACGGUGCUGAAGUAACAAAUGCCCUGCUUCCAGGAAAAGCCUCUAAGCAUCAGGUAACAUCAAAUCGUACCCCAAACCGACACAGGUGGUCAGGUAGAGAAUACCAAGGCGCUUGAGAGAACUCGGGUGAAGGAACUAGGCAAAAUGGUGCCGUAACUUCGGGAGAAGGCACGCUGGUGUGUAGGUGAAGCCCCUGCGGGUGGAGCUGAGACCAGUCGAAGAUACCAGCUGGCUGCAACUGUUUAUUAAAAACACAGCACUGUGCAAACACGAAAGUGGACGUAUACGGUGUGACGCCUGCCCGGUGCCGGAAGGUUAAUUGAUGGGGUUAUCCGUAAGGAGAAGCUCUUGAUCGAAGCCCCGGUAAACGGCGGCCGUAACUAUAACGGUCCUAAGGUAGCGAAAUUCCUUGUCGGGUAAGUUCCGACCUGCACGAAUGGCGUAAUGAUGGCCAGGCUGUCUCCACCCGAGACUCAGUGAAAUUGAACUCGCUGUGAAGAUGCAGUGUACCCGCGGCAAGACGGAAAGACCCCGUGAACCUUUACUAUAGCUUGACACUGAACAUUGAGCCUUGAUGUGUAGGAUAGGUGGGAGGCUUUGAAGCGUGGACGCCAGUCUGCGUGGAGCCAACCUUGAAAUACCACCCUUUAAUGUUUGAUGUUCUAACGUUGGCCCCUGACCGGGGUUGCGGACAGUGUCUGGUGGGUAGUUUGACUGGGGCGGUCUCCUCCCAAAGCGUAACGGAGGAGCACGAAGGUUAGCUAAUCCUGGUCGGACAUCAGGAGGUUAGUGCAAUGGCAUAAGCUAGCUUGACUGCGAGCGUGACGGCGCGAGCAGGUGCGAAAGCAGGUCAUAGUGAUCCGGUGGUUCUGAAUGGAAGGGCCAUCGCUCAACGGAUAAAAGGUACUCCGGGGAUAACAGGCUGAUACCGCCCAAGAGUUCAUAUCGACGGCGGUGUUUGGCACCUCGAUGUCGGCUCAUCACAUCCUGGGGCUGAAGUAGGUCCCAAGGGUAUGGCUGUUCGCCAUUUAAAGUGGUACGCGAGCUGGGUUUAGAACGUCGUGAGACAGUUCGGUCCCUAUCUGCCGUGGGCGCUGGAGAAUUGAGGGGGGCUGCUCCUAGUACGAGAGGACCGGAGUGGACGCAUCACUGGUGUUCGGGUUGUCAUGCCAAUGGCACUGCCCGGUAGCUAAAUGCGGAAGAGAUAAGUGCUGAAAGCAUCUAAGCACGAAACUUGCCCCGAGAUGAGUUCUCCCUGAGACUUUAAGUCUCCUGAAGGAACGUUGAAGACGACGACGUUGAUAGGCCGGGUGUGUAAGCGCAGCGAUGCGUUGAGCUAACCGGUACUAAUGAACCGUGAGGCUUAACCUU